rnacentral:lncRNA from 10 species
CUCUGUCAAACUAAGCGUAAGUGGUUCACAGUCUGUACCACAGCUAAAUUUAAAAGCUGAGAACCCACUCUAUCAACAUUAAACAGCGGCAGUUCCUGUAAGUUUUUAAGGGUUAUUGGAAGAUGACUUUACUUGUCUUCAUACAGUUUCACCUAAAUUAUGUUGGUGCUGUUGCUUUAGGACCUUCAGACCUGGAUGGGGACGUAUGAUAAGGAUCCUGGUUCUCAGGCCUUCUGGUCUGCACUGUAGCUAUACCUCCAGCUUUCCUGUGCUGUCAGUUUGGAGACAGCAGGUCAUGAGACUUCACUGCAUUCAUAAUUAUGUGAGCCAGUUUGUCAUGGUAAAUAUGUAUGUAUGCAUGUAUGUAUCCAUCCAUCCAUCCUGUUGAUUCUGUUUCUCUGGAGAACGCUGAUUAAAACACCUCUCUGCCUUCAGAACCCUUUUUCUUUCCUCUGACGUAUUAAUACUUUGAAUUUUAUAGAGAGAUAUUACAUGAGCAGAUGUGGCAACAUUAUUGAAUAUAAAAUGGUUAAUUUUGCUGCAUCACCCAAUUUUCUUACUCUGAUAAAAACUAUAAUGUAAGAAAUGAGAUAAUAAUUAUAAGUGAUUAUGACAAGUGUAAUAAUAACAUCACUUUUAUGGGGAAAUAAGGAAAAGCAAUAAUUUAUAAUGAAAUAAAAACUAAUGAUCAACA